rnacentral:rRNA from 1 species
CAAUAGCGUAUAUUAAAGUUGUUGCGGUAAAAAAGCUCGUAGUUGGAUUUCUACCGAAGAUAGCCGGUCGGGUCUUCGACCUUGUAUCUGGUUUUGUCUUUGGUAUCCUCAUAGGGAACGUUUCUGCGCUUUAUUGCGUGGUGCGGUAUCUAUGACUUUUACUUUGAGGAAAUUAGAGUGUUCACGGCAGGCAAACGCCUUGAAUAUAUUAGCAUGGAAUAAUAACAUGGGAUCUUCGUCCUAUUUUGUUGGUUUCUAGGGCUAAGAUAAUGAUUAAUAGGGAUAAUUGGGGGCAUCUGUAUCAACGCGUCAGAGGUGGAAUUCUUGGAUUGCGUUGCGACAAACUACUGCGAAAGCAUUUGCCAAGGAUGUUUUCAUUGA